AAACUCCGGAGAAGCUCUUGAAUGAGCUGCCGAAGGGGCAAGGCAUAAAAGCCGAAACUCUCAGGCAAACGGACGGGGC
rnacentral:ncRNA from 1 species